AAAGGUAAAGCGCUCAGUCUUCGCCGGCCUCGAUAUGAUCUUGGACCAUUCGCCUAUGUGCAUGGUUUCUGAAGAUCCAUGAACGCUGAUUGUUAUCAGCUCAUUGUCACGCAUGAGGAUGACUGACAUGGUUCAGACAAGACUCCCAGAAAGCGGGCAAUGCAGAUGGACGCAGGGUUAAGCGACUGAGUGUUCACACCAGCCGGUUCUGAUGAUACUCAAGUUUGUUCAGAGCCGCGUCGAUAUCCGCAAUGAGGUCAGAAACGCUGGUGGAAAUUGCUUGAACAUUACCUACGCCGCCCUCCGAUUUCUCUGGAAUGAAUCCGAGAAUUUUGUUGGUGAUGUUCUCUCCCCGCGAUGCCGAAGCUUGCACACGCCCGGCCAAGCCGCUCAGGCGCGAGAUGAUAUUUUCGAUACCGGUCUCGGGACGAAGGGCGUUACCCUGCGCCGUCGAUAAGCCGCCGAUAUA
rnacentral:misc_RNA from 1 species